AUCGAAUUACUAUGCCCGUUAGAAUUCGCGACCCUACGGAAAGAUUUGGUGCAUUUAUCCCUCUCUUUGAGCCACAUGACCCUAGAUUUGUUAUGCCUGACAAUCUCCUCCAUCUCUAAAACCUCUCCAACUCUCCCCUUAACUCUCGACGUCUCUCCCUCUUCACCUCAACCAACCCUCGACUUUCCUCCUGCCUAUCUAACUCCUCUGUCUAAAAGGCACUAAUUUUUAUGCCAGCUUACAUUGCCCACCACCUUGUCAUUCCACCUCUUUAAAUCCCCUUUCAAUGCCUUCAACUUCUGAUCCAACACAUGACUAGGGACUCCUUGAAAUCAUAAGAUGCCCACCAAGUCCGUCCACGCUCCCCAAAACCUUCGACUUUUAACCACAUCUUCUCAAUCCUAAAAGGCUUUCUUCCACUACCCCUCAUAUUUCCUAACAAUGAAAUGAGGAAAUGAUCAGAAUACACCCUCCCUAAUCUCCUCUGAGUGAGCCUCCAACUCCCCACUAACAAAGAAUCGAUCUGUUCGAGACUGAAUAGGUUGAUCUCGAUUAGAUGAUCAAGUAAAAUCUCCCCUAAUCAUAGGCAAAUCCACCAACAUAUUCUCCCUAAUAAAGUCUGAGAAGUCCUUCAUAGCCCCUAUUAGUCUCCAACCACUAAACCUCUCAGUAGAAAAUCAAACCAUAUUAACAUCACACCCAAUCCAUGUUAGGAGAUUCCACCAAGUCAUCAUACUAGCCAACUCCUCCCACAAGCCCUUUAUACUUUCAUCAGCAAUAGGACCAUAAAUUUAUAUAAACAUCCACUAGAAUCUAUCACUAGUAUUUCUAAAUGAAAGUGACAUAGAAUGACCCUACGCUAACCUCCUCCAUAUCAAAAACUCUAGUAUUCUACAUGCCUAGCACCCUACCUGAUGCUUCUGAAGAUCCUAAAAACUGAUGCCCUAAAUGCUAUCCCCCCUUAGCUGCUAACCAUAGCCCUCGAUACAAACUCCAUCUUAGUUUCUUGUAAACAGACAACGUCCGCCCUCCAUUCCCUUAUCAAAUUUCGAAUACCUAACCUUUUCCCCUCUUCAUUAAGCCCCCUCACAUUCCAACUUAUGAUUUUUGGACUCAUUUCAACGCUCCCUCAUCCCUCCCAACAAUUCUCUCUUUGACUCUCCACUCUUAAGGUCAUAAUUUACUAACCAUUCGAGCUGCUUAAGUUUGCAGUCGCCAUUUUUUCUUGGUUUACCUUCUUCCUGUCUCCUACUAGUCUCCAGUUCCUCAAAUAGUUGCAAAAGUCUACUUUCAUAUCCAUCACAGGACACACCAACCAUCUUGCUUAAAUCCUAAAUUUUUUGAAGAACCCAGUUCAAAGGCAGAGCCUAUCUGUGAUGCGGACAUCCAUUUACUAUUUAUUUUCUUCCAUUUACUGUUUAUUUUCUUUUUAGACUGUUAGUUAUAUUCUAUUUGGAUUAUUAUUUAUAUUUCUGUUAUUGGGCUUAUUUAGUGGGUUUGGCCCAAGCCCUUCUCUUUAGGGUUUGUGUUCUGCUAUUUAUUUCUAUUUUGUUGGUUUAUAUUACUGUUUCAUUCUGAAAUUGCAUCAAUUAAAUUUUUGUGCUGCUGCUGAUCUAUUUUUAUCUAAACUCACGUAAUUGGAUCCUUUGACCUCGUUAAAUCUCACUUUAACCUGCUUAUUUUACGUGAUUAGGUUUUGACUAGUAUUUGACCAUUGCUUUAUUAUUUUACAUAUACCAGCAGUACUAGCUUGUUG
rnacentral:lncRNA from 1 species